CCCAAGCCCGAAUGAAAAAGGUGGAGGGUUGCUUAAGGCCAUAAAAAGCCUGUGUUGAAAACAUGUUAGUACUCAUAAGCAUGAUCCUAACUGUUUCAUGGUAAGACUAGUCCGUCACAAUAAAUUGAUGCAACAUAUAUUGACCUCUCCAGUUAUUAUGAGAAAUAGAGUUUUCUGUUCCUAAUUCUAACAUUUAAAGUGCCCAUUAGUUCUUUAAAUCAAGGUCUGUAAUACCGAAUGAUACUGCUCGUACCGGGCGGUACAUACCGGUCCGUCAAUAGACCAGUACACGGACCGCCCGCUACCGAGCGGUACCAUCAAUUAAGGCAUUAUCGUUAUCGAUUGAGGUGUUAUUAUCGACGGUGAUCGAGGGAGAAGAAAGAAGAGGGAGAAGACGAAGAAAGAAAUAGGAAAAAAAGGUAGAACCUGGAUGUCACCUCUCUCCUCCUCGUCUGUCGACGACUUCUCAUCUGUUCACGGGAGAAGAGGCAUCGGCUUGUGGGGCGGAGAGAAGCGAAGAUUUUUUUUUUCUUCUCUUCUUGGGCAAUGUCGCCUCGGGCAUCAUCGCAAUAUUUUUAUUUUUUAGAUGUAAUUUUUUUUUUUAUCUGCGACGUCGCCCCGCAUAGAGGUAAACUGUGCGGUUUACCUAUAUAUAUAUAUAUAUAUAUAUACACAGCGGUAUACCAAAAUAUACCACUCAGUAUAUAGUAUCAUACCGUAUCGAAUAAGUCUUGAAAUUUUGGUAUGGUACAAAAUUUCAAUCCUUGAUUGAAGUGACUUCUUUUAUGGACUAACAUUCAAAUAUCGGGACUGUGUAACUUAUAUAUCAUGAACUAGCAUUGUCCAUAAUGUAAGUUACUCAUCUAAGAAACCAACAAGUAUGCUUUCUGUGGAUGAUAAUUGUUAGGACGGGAAACCACAGCAUGUGGAUAAGGUUCUUAAUGGUAAAAUUUUAUAGGUUGGAUCAAGGUAUGCAAUACCGUACCGUAUUAAUAUUUCGAGGUUGGCUCGGUAUGGUACAGUAUCGUAUACCGAGCGGUACGCUAGGGUGUACCAAGUGGUACACCUAAUUUAGGUGUAAGACCCUCCGAAAAUACCUAAAAAUAAAAAAAAUGUUAGGAUAGGAUUUUUAAGUUAGAAAUAAAUAUAGUAAUAGCAUAAGUUUAGUAAAAUCAAUGUAAAUUAGGUAAGAAUAGUAUCACAUAUUUUUUUCAGGCUUUGAAGAAUAUCUUAUGUAAGGUUCGUAUUCCAGUUCAGUACGGAUUAUCCUUAUGUAAACAUACCUCUUGAUUAGAAAGUUCUUCCUCUUAAUCUUCCUAAAUUAGCCUCGAUUCAAUUCAUUAAUCGUUGUUUUGUAGAGUUUAGGAGAGCACAAAUGUGAGAAAAAAAGAGUUUGAGAUAGUUUAAGAGAGUAUGAGAAUGUAAUGGAGUGAAAUAAAGGAGAAGAAGGGUUUAAAUACCAUAAGAAAUGGUUCCAACGGUCAAUUUGACUAUUGGAGCACUGUAUCACUAUUACCGAGCGGUUUUAAAUAUUUCUUCCUCUUACUGUAGCAUUGUAGCACUUUAGCAUGUUCUGUCUGGUAGCGGGCGGUUCGCGUACCGGUAUGUUGUCGGAUCGGUACAUAUCGCCCGGGUACCGUACCGGGUGGUACCAUUCUAAAUUGGUUGGAUCAAGAUUGACAAUCCUUGGAACAUGAUGAGAUAAACUACUCCACUCUAUUUGACUUUGUGAACUAAAACUUGAUGGUUAAUUUUUUUUUAACUUUUUAUUGGCAGCUGCAAUGACAUAUAUGAAUCUCCAAUUGAAUUGUGAGAGACACGAUGGCUAUGCAGGUCCAUUUCUCAAAGGAUUUGGACUGCCAUUUACAAGGACAAGUCUCCACAUUGUUAGUUACAGAUGUUCUUCUGUUUCUUCUUUGCAUUUUGUUCUGUAAUAUUUUGUGUCAAACAUUGAAAUAAUUAUAGAUGAUGUGUUCCAUAUUACUUAAUAGAAAUUCUUUUGCUUUUUGGCUUUCCACGUGUUCCAAAGUGUUCUUUCUUAGUUUAUAGGAUUCCACAAUAAGUUUAUGAAGAAACUAAUGUUAAUUAAAUUAUUUUUUUCAUGCAUAUUAUGUGAAUGGAUAUGGUUUCUUAUCAAAUCAAUUUACAAUAUGAUUUGACAAUUUUGUACUUGAAUAGUUGGGUCUGUCUUCAAUAUUUGAUGAAAUUGUUAAAACUGAAGUAACCAGGCACAUGCAACCUACUGAUUCCUUGAGCUUGUUUGGGGAAGAAUUCAAAUGAACUGAAGAUUAUUGGGAUGCUUCUUAUUUGAAUGUCUUGGAUAUAUCUGCAGCGGAAGAAGGCAGUCCUCAUGUCUUAUUUGGAUGUGCUUCACAAGUAUAUUCUAAAUGAUCACCUACCCUAUAAUGUUUUUUAAACUAAUUAUCCUGUUUUUUUCCUAUUGGAAUAACUUUUAGCCACCAGGAGUCUGCUUCUGUAACUAAAUUGUCGAGUGUUUACAUUCUUUUAUAAUGAAUAGAUAGCCUCUCCUGUUCUGCAAAUUGGCUAACAGUAAUUCAAAUUUUUCGUCCCUAUUACCACUUAUACAAGCACUGCUUCCAGGUGAAAGGUCUCUGUUUUAAGUUAAAACUUUUAACACCUUUUACUAGUUUAUAUAUUAAUUAAUUUGGAUGGAUUCUGAUUUCCUUUCAUUUGAUGACACCUCUUUCUCCAAUUAGCCUCCUAAAUCAAGUUGAUGAUUACUGCAAAGGUUUCAUCUUUUCCCAUAAUAAGUCUACAUAUUAAGUCAACAACUUGUAUUUUUGUAACUGCAUCGACCCUUUUUCAGGUUGAUCUUGCAAUUGAACUUCCGGAGGACCUCUUGGUGUUAUUCAAGUAAUUCCAUCAUUCUCCUUUGGUUUACUAUUAUGACUGCAUCGACUCUUGGUGUUUCAUCUUUAUUACUGUUAUGAAGGCUUAAUUCUUUAUUAUAAUGAAUGCUCCUUUGGUUGGUUGGUUGGUUAUGAAGUCAUGGAUACAAGUGCAAGAUAUUGAUAUGAUGGAUAUGGGCAUGUAUCAAUGUAUAAUGUUUACUAUUUAAUGUGACAAAAUUUGGUAUUUAUUUAAUGUUAGAAUAGGUAGAUAUAAAUCAUGAUUCAUCGUAAUUAACCUAUUCAUCAUGAAAAUAUAUAAAUAAUGUUUGGUGAAUUAUCUAACAUAAGCAAUUAAAACUAUCUAUGUUUGAUGAGUACUUGAUCAUUUCUUGGUGCAGAUCUGACUUUUUUUGUGGUCAAUACAUUGUGAUUUAUUGUGGAUGAUCAAAUUAUCAAUCAUUAAUUUUCUCGUGAAAUAAUCUUCUCAUUUUGAGAAAAAUGUUAUUUAAUUUGAACAUCAUAGCCCUAGCAUAACAAAGACUAUGAAGUUCAGAGGCAAUUUGUUCUGCUGUGGUAUAAUAUUUGAUGAUGAUGUUCAGAUGGCAAUUAGUUUCACCAUUUGAUGAUGUAUGAUAAUAUUUCAAGUUUGCCAGCAGUGGUUGAUGAUUGUCGAACUAUGUCAUGCUGGUAUAAUACUAGCAUGGUGUUUGGUUAUAUACCAAGGAUGUCCCUGAACACACAAUCAAGCACAAGGCUUGUUCCAGCCAUAUGUUUAAACCGUGUUGAUCAGCAUGUAUUGUACUGACAUGACCAUCCUGAUGAACUAAAAAAACACUUUCUAUGACCUAUCAUAGAUGUUAUUUUGUGAUCCAUCUAUUACCUUAUUGUGAAGAUUCCAACAAUAUCAGUCAUUUGUACACUUGAAUAAAACCUUGAUCUCUUGAAUUUGAUCAUGAUCAUGAUAGCAGUUAUUGUGAAACUGAAAAUUUUGUCUGUUGGAUUGUAGUUUUCCUUUUUUUCUAGAGUGCCAAUAAAGAACCUACUGUUUGAGUGUCCUGAUGAUACAACUAUGACACAGCCUUGUACAGAGUUCUUUGGAGUGUUGUGCUCAACUCUUAUGGGACUUUUAUGGACCAAUAUAACUACUGUUGUGGCUUGGAAAGCUAUAUAUUUCUUAAUGGGUAGCAGAUUAUUUUUUACAUGUUUCUUAGAUACCAAUAUACACUUAAAAUAUACACUUCAAAUCCUGUGAAUGCAAGUCCUUUAGUUCUAGUUACUGUCAUUUAGUACUUUUUAGUUCAUGAACCCUGUAUGUGACAUCCAUCUUUCAUCUGUGUGUGCUCAAGAAAUUAUGAAUUUCAUCAUAAUGCUCCAGUUAUUAUCCAAUUUCACUAACAGUUAUGUCCAGGAUACAUCUUGACUCUAUGAUUUCGCAGAGCUGAUUUUAUCAAGAUUACAAAAUAGGAUAAUAAGUUGUAUCACAUAUUAUAAUUUAUAGACUGGCCAAGGACCUUGCAUUUGAUUAGGUACUAAGAUCUUACUGAUACUUAUUGCAUUAUGAUCUUAAUUUUUUACUGAUUUCAUCAGGCUUCUUUUUGGAUAUGCACAAUUGGUCAAAAAAAAAUCAGUUGGGUCCUGAUGCAAUACCUUGUUUCUGUGGCAUGUAUCUAGAAACAUGUUUUAGUAUGAAAAUGUCUCUUUGUGAGUUCCACACAUUGCAGCUACCAACAUGUAUGUGACAGCUCUCUUGCACACUUUCACUAUGUUGUUUCUAAGACUAAUGAAGUUUUAGCUCCUGAUUGUUUUUAAGGUACAAUAAAACAUUUUCUUUAUGGAACCAUAUAUUCUAACUUCUAAGAACCUACAAUGGAAUAUUUUUAGUGUCACAUUUUCUGCAGGCACAUUUGACGAAAAGAGCAUUUCCUGUUAUUUACUUAUGGUGGAUCAUGUUUCUUAUGUAGGAUAAGAUUUUUUUCAUGCAGCUUUUAUGCAUGAAACAAUAAGGAUCCUACCUGUGAAUUUGGAAUUAGCUAUGGUUGGUUUAUUCAAAUCCUACAAGUCCUUUAGUUCUAGUCAUUAUCAUUUAGUACUUUUUAGUUCAUGAACCCUAUAUGUGACAUCCAUCUUUCAUCUGUGUGUGCUCAAGAAACUGUGAAUUUUGUCACAAUGCCCCAGUUAUUAUCCAAAUUUUAUCCACUUCCUCCUGAAUAAAAAUUCAAGAAAAGGAAAAAAAAUCUUGAUACACUUUCGUAUGACAGAUUAUGCACUUAUUUUCAUGCUUCAAGUUUGGUUGACUUUGUUCAUAAUGUCCCUACCAGGUGUUUUCAUAAUCUGCUAGCCAUGCUUAUGUUGCUUUGAAGCAAGGUAUACAAUUUGAAUGGUACCGCUCGGUACGGAUGGUACGUACCAGUCCGACAGGUUAUCGGUAUGCGGAUUGUCCGUUAUCGCCCGGCACAGCUCGUGUACUCCUUUUUGUUUUGGGGCCACAUAUGCCAUUUCCUUCAGAUCAAGAGUCUUUAGCUGUUUCUUCUGACUUUGUGAUAUGUUCUCAUGGGGCUUCUAGCACAUCCAGUAAUCCGGAUGAAGCAAAGAGAAAGAUUGAUGCAUCUAAAGCUGCCACAAGAAAAGAUGUACUCCAAGAUGCUAAUCUGUAGUUUGCUCCUAGAGAUCUGUCAAAAAUUGUUCUGACAAGUAUUUCCAAUUAUUUUACUGGGGACUGGAUCAGAUUGAAUUCCGAUUGUGGUGUUUCAGAGGUGAAUAAGAUAUCAAAUAACAACUUUUAGAAUAUUGGUUUCUUUGCUGAUUACUUGUAUUCACAAGCAGAUUAUCUACAACUUGUAAACUAUCAAGAUUCGGUAUAUAGGGCUUCUCAAUUUGAACGUUUGGCAGCUGAUUUGUGUUCCCAGCAUGACAUAACCCCAGAAAGCCAUGAAGCUGCAAUAGAAGCCAUACUCUUGGCUGCAGAAUGUUAUGUCAACUCAUUCUUUAUAAUCGAUUUCAUAUGGAUGCAAUUCAGAGCUUAUGAAUCAAAUGAAAAUCAUUGGAUCCAAAUUCAAGAAUAAAAAUGGAUUAGUGGUGUUUUAUGAAGACCUUAAGAGAUGUAAUGUCAAUCUGGAGACAAUAGCUUAUCUUGAAAGUAAAAGGGAUAUAACUGUUCUACAAAUUCUGCUUCCGCUAAACUGGACCUCGAAUCUGAGAGAAUUUUGGCUCUUGGGAAACCUUGUACAUAUUAUUUUGAAGGUAAUCAGCAGGCUUUGGAAAUAUCACAAGUCGACAUUGAAUCAGCUGAUGUGGCAAUAUUGAUUAGGCAGAAUCAACCAUUGCUUUGUCACUUUGUAAUCCUCCUACAGAGUCUCCCCUCUUUCUACUGCAUUCUGCAACUGAGUUAUCCUAUUCUGUAGAGGAUGUUAAUAACGUUAUAUUGCAGUCAGCUGCAAAUCUUAGUGGACAAAUUACAACUUUGUACACCCAACUGAAAGCAAGCAACAUACAGCUUGAAAUGGAAAAGUUACAUGGGCUGCAAAGGUGCUGGGCACUUCUUGAAAGAUUAAUAAUAACAUCUUCUGGAAAUGAUGAACGGACAUAUCCCAUUGGCAUCAAAAGUGCUGGUUUCAUCUACAGAACUUUAUUCCACAUUUAUCGUGGAUGCAGAAAAUAUCCAGAUUUUCAAGUUGCAUAUGUCCAUUUUCUAGAUUUUUAGGAUGGAUGUCAGUAUCUUGAAAUGCAAAGCAAUACUUGAAGGGACACAUGUUUAUUACCUCUGAUCUUUCACAAAUUUUAUCAUUUUUUUAUCAAAUUUUGCGGAUGAGUUAGCACUUACCGAUAAUUUAGUAAAAGAAUUUUUAAUCUGCA